rnacentral:miRNA from 1 species
UGGUCUCACCACGCGUUACUCAUU